rnacentral:misc_RNA from 1 species
ACAAACUUGGUCAUUUAGAGGAAGUAAAAGUCGUAACAAGGUUUCCGUAGGUGAACCUGCGGAAGGAUCAUUAUUGAAUAACCUUGAUGGGUUGUAGCUGGCCUCUUGAGGCAUGUGCACGCUCAUCUUGAUUCUAUUCAUCCACCUGUGCACCUAAUGUAGUUUCUUACUCUCUGUUUUCAGUUGAAAAAUACUGGAUUUGAGGAUUGCCUGCUGGCUUUCUUCUGCUUGAGAGAACAAGGGAACUAUGUAUUUUAUCAUAAACCACAUAGUAUGUCAAUUGAAUGUAAUAAAUGGGCCUUUUGUGCCUAUAACAAUCUAUACAACUUUCAGCAACGGAUCUCUUGGCUCUCGCAUCGAUGAAGAACGCAGC